CCCGUCCGCGGGUGGGGCGCCCGCCGGAGGAUAACCAAACUCUGAUUUAACGACGUUUCUUCUGAGUGACACAAGCAAAUAAUCAAAACUUUUAACAACGGAUCUCUUGGUUCUGGCAUCGAUGAAGAACGCAGCGAAAUGCGAUAAGUAAUGUGAAUUGCAGAAUUCAGUGAAUCAUCGAAUCUUUGAACGCACAUUGCGCCCGCCAGCAUUCUGGCGGGCAUGCCUGUUCGAGCGUCAUUUCAACCCUCAAGCUCUGCUUGGUGUUGGGGCUCUACGGUUGACGUAGGCCCUUAAAGGUAGUGGCGGACCCUCUCGGAGCCUCCUUUGCGUAGUAACAUUUCGUCUCGCAUUGGGAUUCGGAGGGACUCUAGCCGUAAAACCCCCAAUUUUACUAAGGUUGACCUCGGAUCAGGUAGGAAUACCCGCUGAACUUAAGCAUAUCAAUAAGCGGAGGAAGA
rnacentral:sRNA from 1 species